GAUACGCGAAACCACGGAUCCGG
rnacentral:siRNA from 1 species